AUUGAACGCUGGCGGCAGGCCUAACACAUGCAAGUCGAACGGUAACAGAAAGCAGCUUGCUGCUUUGCUGACGAGUGGCGGACGGGUAAGUAAUGUCUGGGAAACUGCCUGAUGGAGGGGGAUAACUACUGGAAACGGUAGCUAAUACCGCAUAACGUCGCAAGACCAAAGAGGGGGACCUUCGGGCCUCUUGCCAUCGGAUGUGCCCAGAUGGGAUUAGCUAGUAGGUGGGGUAAAGGCUCACCUAGGCGACGAUCCCUAGCUGGUCUGAGAGGAUGACCAGCCACACUGGAACUGAGACACGGUCCAGACUCCUACGGGAGGCAGCAGUGGGGAAUAUUGCACAAUGGGCGCAAGCCUGAUGCAGCCAUGCCGCGUGUAUGAAGAAGGCCUUCGGGUUGUAAAGUACUUUCAGCGGGGAGGAAGGGAGUAAAGUUAAUACCUUGGCUCAUUGACGUUACCCGCAGAAGAAGCACCGGCUAACUCCGUG
rnacentral:rRNA from 1 species